CACUGACGCAUUCCGUUUGGAACAAUAAAUAGAGCGAACAAGGAUCCUUCCAGUUCACAAGUCUGAGACGACGCAUGAAGAAGUUCUUGCUUCAACAGUGAUUGAACGGAACUCCUCUGCCUUCGUCCCGCAUCAUAGAACGUUCCGGAUUGUUGACAUAGCACUUACUUGAACUGUAAUAACAAAAUAGUCGAAGAAACUUUAUUUUUGUACUUUUCAUUUAGACCUUAAAGAAAAUCUGCCAAAAUGGAGUCUCAGAUCCGCCAGAACUAUCACCACGAUUGCGAAGCUGCCAUCAACCGGAUGAUCAACUUGGAGAUGUUUGCUUCCUACACCUACACUUCAAUGGCUUUCUAUUUCUCCCGUGAUGAUGUGGCUCUGCCUGGCUUCGCACAUUUCUUCAAGGAGAACAGCGACGAGGAGCGGGAGCACGCCGACAAGCUACUCUCCUUUCAGAACAAGCGAGGUGGACGCAUUUUACUCCAGGACAUCAAGAAGCCAGAACGUGAUGAGUGGGGCAAUGGGCUGGAGGCCAUGCAGUGUGCUCUGCAGCUGGAGAAGAAUGUGAACCAGGCCCUGCUGGACCUGCACAAGAUUGCCUCAGACAAGGUUGACCCCCAUCUGUGUGACUUCCUGGAGACCCAUUACCUGAAUGAGCAGGUGGACGCCAUUAAGAAGCUGGGUGACCACAUCACGAACCUCACCAAGAUGGAUGCUGUCAAAAACAAGAUGGCAGAGUACCUGUUUGACAAGCACACCCUGGGAGGCCAGAGCUGAACCACUUUCAUCCCCAGGCUACGGCCUCCAGCCUCAGACCAGGACUACUGGCUUCUGAGAUCCUCCUGGCUUUCUGUUGACAACACUACUGUAUUUUGGAGUCCUCCCGGUUUUGACCCUUGCCUGCCCUGGCUCUGAACCUGCCUGCCGCUCUGUACCUCCUGGAUUCUGACCUUGUUAUGAUCUUUUUGCCUGUCCAUGACCAUUCUCUUGCCUGCUCCUUGGAUACUAAUAAAUAUCAGAGACUCAAACCCUCUGCCUCCCGUGUCUGCAUAUGGGUUUUGCCCUGUGCCCUUAUACUAAGAGGCCUUUAGGUGCCUUUUGGCAAACUUUAUAGGCUAAUGUAAUCAUCUGACAUACCAUUUGUCAACCUCAAUAUGUAAUUUGAAACCGAAAGGUGUAUUAUCAAAUACUAUUUCUACAAAAGCCAGUCUUUCUUUCUCUGUCCACUACUGUAUUCCCAUACCUCAUAUUGAAAAAUGAGCUGAUUUAAAAAUAAAAAAAACUGUGAUAAACCCUACAGUUUUUCUUUUGACUGCAUUGUGGAAAAGGUAAACAAUUAAGCUACAUAUGCUAUUGAAACAUGUGCUCAUAGAGAAUGAAACAGAAGUUUACAGAACUGCGUCUCAAAGUUCAAUUCCUUUUAUAUCCUAAAUCAAACGUAAACAUAGACUAUUUCUAAAUUAGCCUAAUAUUAGAAUGAGUGUUCAAAUUCUUCCUAUUUUCUUCUAAGGAUAUAACACACAUACAAUUUUCAACAAUAACUUCUGUAGUUAGACCUGUACUGUAGGAUUGCUUAAGCUUUUAGCUGAUACUACUGCUUUAGUUGUUUCCAAUAGAAUGUUACUUUGCAAUAAACAAAGUAAAAAAAAAAUUAACAGUCCGAGAUGAAGAGGUCAAGGCGAGAGCAUUUACUCUGCUAAAAAUCUUUCCGCGUGUGAUAAGCCCGUUUUUUUCAAAGUACUUGAGGAUUAUGAUCGAAUCGAAGUUUCGUAAUGUUUAAGCUUUUACAAAUGUACUGAUAUAUGUGGAUGCAUGUGGUAUUCCGGAAACUUUGAGAAAAAUGAAGUUUAUUUGUGCGUGGUGUUCACACGCGUACCUGCCCAAUCAUUGGCUAGAAUGGUCCCACCUGAUCUUGCCUGUCUUCAUUCCUUGAGCACAUGUAUUUCCAGUGUUAGAGUGGUCACUCGGCUUUCUUGUCAAUAUAAUAAAUAAUCUUUGCUUUAGGGCAUGUGCAUGAGUGGGAUGGUCAUCAAAUGAUCCGCCUAGUUCCUGUUGAAAUUCUAAAGGUGAUUGGCCACGCUCUGUGAGGGGGGAUUUCACUGACGCAUUCCGUUUGGAACAAUAAAUAGAGCGACCAAGGAUCCUUCCAGUUCACAAGUCUGAGAAGACGCAUGAAGAAGUUCUUGCUUCAACAGUGAUUGAACGGAACUCCUCUGCCUUCGUCCCGCAUCAUAGAACAUUACGGAUUGAUGACAGAACUUUUUUGAACUGUAAAUGCAAAAUAGUCUGAGAAACUUUUUAUUUGUACUUUUCAUUUCGAUAUAAAAUAAUCUGCUGAGAUGGAGUCUCAGAUCCGCCAGAACUAUCACCACGAUUGCGAAACUGCCAUCAACCGGAUGAUCAACUUGGAGAUGUUUGCCUCCUACACCUACACUUCCAUGGCUUUCUAUUUCUCCCGUGGUGAUGUGGCUCUGCCUGGCUUAGCGCAUUUCUUCAAGGAGAGCAGCUACUCUCCUUUCAGAACAAGCGAGGUGGACGCAUUUUACUCCAGGACAUCAAGAAGCCAGAACGUGAUGAGUGGGGCAAUGGGCUGGAGGCCAUGCAGUGUGCUCUGCAGCUGGAGAAGAAUGUGAACCAGGCCCUGCUGGACCUGCACAAGAUUGCCUCUGACAAGGUUGACCCCCAUCUGUGUCACUUCCUGGAGACCCAUUACCUGAAUGAGCAGGUGGAGGCCAUUAAGAAGCUGGGAGACCACAUCACCAACCUCACCAAGAUGGAUGCUGUCAACAACAAGAUGGCAGAGUACCUGUUUGACAAGCACACCCUGGGAGGCCAGAGCUAAACCACUUCCAUCCCCAGGCUACGGUCUCCAGCCUCAGACCAGGACUCCUGACUUCUCUGCUAGAACCUACUGGCUUUGCAUUUAUAGGGAGGGGAGAGUGUUGAACUGGUUUAGUGCAACACAGCUGUAACAUUGGUGUUUCUGUUGACCCCAAUACUGCAUUUUGGAGGCAAGGCUUCUUGUAAAACGAUUAAAAGAACACUAAAGUUU